GGGUCAGUAGGUUGGUCGUGCCACCGGUACGUACUGGUCUCACUGAUUCCUCCUUCCUGAAGAACCGUAAUGCCAUUAAUUUGGUGUUGCGGGGAAACAGGUCUGUUACUUUGAAAAGAUUAGAGUGUUUAAAGCAAGCUAACGCUUGAAUACAUUAGCAUGGAAUAAUGAAAUAGGACGAUCGAUCCUAUUUUGUUGGUUUCUAGGAUUGACGUA
rnacentral:rRNA from 1 species